rnacentral:rRNA from 1 species
UACGGAGGGUGCGAGCGUUGUCCGGAAUCACUGGGCGUAAAGGGCGCGUAGGCGGCCUGAUAAGUAGGGGGUGAAAUCCUGUGGCUUAACCGCAGGGCUGCCUUCUAAACUGUCGGGCUAGAGCACAGUAGAGGCAGGUGGAAUUCCCGGUGUAGCGGUGGAAUGCGUAGAGAUCGGGAAGAACAUCAGUGGCGAAGGCGGCCUGCUGGGCUGUUGCUGGACGCUGAGGCG